rnacentral:rRNA from 1 species
GGGUUCGAUUCCGGAGUGGGAGCCUGAGAAACGGCUACCACAUCCAAGGAAGGCAGCAGGCGCGCAAAUUACCCAAUCCCAAUACGGGGAGGUAGUGACAAUAAAUAACAAUAUGGGGCUCUUACGGGUCUCGUAAUUGGAAUGAGUACAAUUUAAAUCUCUUAACGAGGAACAAUUGGAGGGCAAGUCUGGUGCCAGCAGCCGCGGUAAUUCCAGCUCCAAUAGCGUAUAUUAAAGUUGUUGCAGUUAAAAAGCUCGUAGUUGAAUUUCGGAGUUUGUCGGUUGGUCGGGCUUCACUGUCCGCACUGGCCUGAUGGAUUCCUACCUUCUGAAUAACCAGCAUGCUAUUAAGUUAGUGCGUUGGGGAAGCAGAGCUAUUACCUUGAAAAAAUUAGAGUGCUUAAAGCAGGCUUUUGCUUGAAUAGAUUAGCAUGGAAUAAUAAAAUAGGACGGCAUGGUUCUAUUUUGUUGGUUUCUAGGAUCACCGUAAUGAUUAAUAGGGAUAGUUGGGGGCAUUAGUAUUCAAUUGUCAGAGGUGAAAUUCUUGGAUUUAUUGAAGACUAACUUCUGCGAAAGCAUUUGCCAAGGAUGUUU